rnacentral:miRNA from 1 species
UGGGAUCAUCUAGUCCAGCCCUCU